rnacentral:rRNA from 1 species
GAUGAACGCUAGCGGCAGGCCUAACACAUGCAAGUCGAGGGGUAGCAGGGUAGCAAUAUCGCUGACGACCGGCGCACGGGUGAGUAACGCGUAUGCAACCUUCCUUUAACUGGGGCAUAGCCCGGAGAAAUUCGGAUUAAUACCCCAUAAUAUUUCAGGGACACAUGUUUUUGGAAUUAAAGCUCCGGCGGUUAAAGAUGGGCAUGCGUGCCAUUAGCUAGUUGGUGAGGUAACGGCUCACCAAGGCUACGAUGGUUAGGGGGUCUGAGAGGAUGAUCCCCCACACUGGUACUGAGACACGGACCAGACUCCUACGGGAGGCAGCAGUGAGGAAUAUUGGGCAAUGGGCGCAAGCCUGACCCAGCCAUGCCGCGUGAAGGAUGAAUGCCCUAUGGGUUGUAAACUUCUUUUGUACGGGACGAAACUUUUGGUCGUGACCGAAAUUGACUGUACCGUAUGAAUAAGCAUCGGCUAACUCCGUGCCAGCAGCCGCGGUAAUACGGAGGAUGCAAGCGUUAUCCGGAUUCAUUGGGUUUAAAGGGUGCGUAGGCGGAAUAAUAAGUCAGCGGUGAAAGCCUGUGGCUUAACCAUAGAAUUGCCGUUGAUACUGUUAUUCUUGAGUAUAGUUGAAGUGGGCGGAAUGUGUAAUGUAGCGGUGAAAUGCUUAGAUAUUACACAGAACACCAAUUGCGAAGGCAGCUUACUAAGCUGUUACUGACGCUGAGGCACGAAAGCGUGGGGAGCAAACAGGAUUAGAUACCCUGGUAGUC